rnacentral:rRNA from 1 species
UACGUAGGGGGCAAGCGUUGUCCGGAUUUAUUGGGCGUAAAGCGCUCGCAGGCGGUCCUAUGCGUCGUGCGUGAAAGACCCCGGCUCAACUGGGGAGGGUCGUGCGAUACGGUCGGACUCGAGGCCAGUAGGGGGACGCGGAAUUCCGGGUGUAGUGGUGGAAUGCGUAGAGAUCCGGAGGAACACCAGCGGCGAAGGCGGCGUCCUGGACUGGUACUGACGCUCAGGAGCGAAAGCGUGGGGAGCGAUCCGG